GUAUGCAUAGGCCAUCCGACCUGGCUGGACUGGAUCUAUAAUAGUAGUGUGUUGCGUACAAGGAGAGAGAAUUCUCAGACAGAUAAGGGUGACUGAUUAUAUUACUAUCAACCUGAUAUAGAGCAAAACACCAAGCAGCAGCCAGGAUUGUUACUGUCCAUAAGGGGGCUGUUAUAAGAGGAAAUUACAAAAAAAAAAGGAUCCACAAAAUUAUUUUCACUCUAUCUACUCCCAUAAUGACCUCAUGUGGGGCGGCAGGGUAGCCUAGUGGUUAGAGCGUUGGACUAGUAACCGAAAGGUUGCAAGUUCAAAUCCCGAGCUCACAAGGUACAAAUCUGUCAUUCUGCCCCUGAACAGGCAGUUAACCCACUGUUCCUAGGCAGUCAUUGAAAAUAAGAAUUUGUUCUUAACUGACUUGCCUAGUAAAAUAAAAGUUAAAAAAAAAAAAAUGUCAUCACUACCAUUCACCUGGUGUCUAAUUUCAAUUGUUAAAAACUAAUGUUGCACAUUUUGCCAUUUGGUCACCAAAAUGCAAAUGGUCUAUAUACACUGAGUAUACAACAAAUUAGGAACAACUUCCAAAUAUUGAGUUGCAAACCACCCUUCCCCUCCUUUGUGGAAGAAAACAAAAAAAGGUAGGUCUAUAAUGCAACAAUGAAACAUGCAUGAGAGCAUCAGCUGUUCCGGACGACUGUGUGAUCACUCUAGCCGAUGUGAGUAAGACCUUUAAACAGGUUCACAAGGCCGCAGGGCCAGACGGAUUACCAGGACUCGCUGACCAACUGUCAAAUGUCUUCACUGACAUCUUCACCCUCUCCCUGUCUGAGUCUAUAAUACCAACGUGUUUCAAACAGAUCACCAUAGUCCCUGGGCCCAAGAACACUAAGGUAACCAGACUAAAUUACUACCGACCCAUAGCACUCACAUCUGUAGCCAUGAACUGCUUUGAAAGGCUGGUCAUGGCUCACAUCAACACCAUUAUCCCAGAAACCCUAGACCCACUCCAAUUUGCAUACUGCCCCCACA
ensembl:lncRNA